rnacentral:rRNA from 1 species
AUACGGAGGGUGCAAGCGUUACUCGGAAUCACUGGGCGUAAAGCGCGCGCAGGCGGCUUGAUAAGUUGGAUGUGAAAGCCUACGGCUCAACCGUAGAACUGCAUCCAAAACUAUUAGACUAGAGUGUGAGAGAGGAAGAUGGAAUUAGUUGUGUAGGGGUAAAAUCCGUAGAGAUAACUAGGAAUACCAAAAGCGAAGGCAAUCUUCUGGAACACUACUGACGCUGAGGCGCGAAAGCGUGGGGAGCAAACAGAAUUAGAAACCCUAGUAGUCC